rnacentral:rRNA from 1 species
UACGGAGGGGGCUAGCGUUGUUCGGAAUUACUGGGCGUAAAGGGCUCGUAGGCGGCCAACUAAGUCGGAUGUGAAAUCCCCAGGCUCAACCUGGGAACUGCAUCCGAUACUGGAUGGCUUGAAUUCGGGAGAGGGAUGCAGAAUUCCCAGUGUAGCGGUGAAAUGCGUAGAUAUUGGGAGGAACACCGGUGGCGAAGGCGGCUACCUGGACCGGUUCUGACGCUGAUGCGCGAAAGCGUGGGUAGCAAACAGG